rnacentral:rRNA from 1 species
UAGUAAAAUUUAUACUUUAUUUUUGUUUGCGUAUAACGGGGUUAGGUAAUUUUAUUUCAUUUUAGGUGGAAUUUAAAUGUUUUUUUUGUAUACGGUUAUACGACGAAGAUUUGUAAGACGAAUUAGAUUAGUACCUAAUUAGUCAAAGGUUAAUAUUUCAGGAGUAAAGUAAGGUUUAAACUGAAAUAAUUUUGGCAGAUAUUUUAAAUUAUCUUUGGAGGUUGAGUGGUAAUUGAGAACCCUCAUUAACUACUUAAGCUGUGGGCUUAUGUAUGAUCGUUUAUUUUAUACUUAAGGUUUAAAAUUUUUUAAUUAUUUUUAGUUAAUAAAAUAGAUAUAUAUUUAGUAUAUGCUUUAAGUUUUAUUUGACCUACAAUAAAUUAGUUUUUGGAUUAGUAAAUUGGUAGUUAUUAUGAAAUUGUAAAAGACAGUAAAAGGAUUUUUAUGGUUAUUUGAAGAGUAUUUAAAAAUGGUACAAAUCAUCCAUCAAUUGCCCAAA